AACGCGUUCGGCCUCGCAAGUGAGCGGAACUGGUCGCAAAACAACGGAAUAUCAAGCACUAUUUCGUGCCAGUUGGUGAUUGUGGAAAACUGUCAGCAGGUGCGCUCCGUAGUGCCUGUACCGUUGAUUGGAAAUUUUACCGUGGAAAAAGACGGAAAACGGUGAACAUCGAGCAGCGUGUGAAACGGCAUUGUGGCCGAAAGCCAUACACACGGAACCGCUGGACACAGACACCGCAUACAGAAGCGACAAACUCGCAGUAGCGACACGGCACGGCAAAACCGUACGCGAGUGAUUAUCCAACUUUGGUGCGCGUACCGUGCAAACGGCAAACUUUUUCUCAUAUGCAAUCUGAAUUGCCCACCCGGCUCGCAGUACCAGAAGCAAACUCGGUUUAAUAUUUAAUCGCAUCAUAUCCCAAUCACGGACCCAAAACGCUUCACACUAGUCGAGCGUAAAAUCCUCACCUUCAAGUGUUAUUUCUACCCCUGGAUUUGUCUAAC